AUGAGGCUGUUGGGUCUUCUUCUCUGCCUGGUGACAGGUCCCCAAGGUGUCCUCUCCCAGGUGCAGCUGCAACAGCGAGGCCCAGGCCUGGUGAAGCCCUCACAGACCCUCACCCUCACAUGUGCUGUCUCUGGAUUCUCCAUCACAACCAGUAGUUACUACUGGAGCUGGAUCCGCCAGCCCCCAGGGAAGGGACUAGAGUGGAUAGGGUACAUAGGGUAUGAUGGUAGCACUUACUACAGCCCAUCACUCAGGAGCCGCAUCUCCAUCUCCAGAGACACGUCCAAAAAUCAGUUCUCCCCGCAGCUGAGCUCUGUGACCACCGAGGACACAGCUGUGUAUUACUGUGUCACUCUGGACCCACCAAGUACAGGGCUGAGCCCAGGAGCAGGUGUCCUGUCCCAGGUGCUGGUGCAGGUUUUGGGCCCAGGACUAUUGAAGACCCUCUCCCUCACCUGCUGUCUCCGGAUUCUCCAUCAGAAACAAGACACAUCAGAGAACCAGUUCUCCCUGCAGAUCAGCUCCAUGAUAUGUGAGGACACAGCCAUGUUUUACUGUGUUACACACAGUGAGGGGAAGUCAGUGUGA